rnacentral:rRNA from 1 species
UACGUAGGGUGCAAGCGUUGUCCGGAAUUAUUGGGCGUAAAGAGCUCGUAGGCGGUCUGUCGCGUCUGCUGUGAAAACCUGGGGCUUAACCCCGGGCCUGCAGUGGGUACGGGCAGACUAGAGUGCGGUAGGGGAGAUUGGAAUUCCUGGUGUAGCGGUGGAAUGCGCAGAUAUCAGGAGGAACACCGAUGGCGAAGGCAGAUCUCUGGGCCGUAACUGACGCUGAGGAGCGAAAGCAUGGGGAGCGAACAGG